ACCGUACUCCUACGGGAGGCAGCAGUGGGGAAUAUUGCACAAUGGGCGGAAGCCUGAUGCAGCGACGCCGCGUGAGGGAUGACGGCCUUCGGGUUGUAAACCUCUUUCAGCAGGGAAGAAGCGCAAGUGACGGUACCUGCAGAAGAAGCACCGGCUAACUACGUGCCAGCAGCCGCGGUAAUACGUAGGGUGCGAGCGUUGUCCGGAAUUAUUGGGCGUAAAGAGCUUGUAGGCGGUUUGUCGCGUCUGCUGUGAAAAUCCGGGGCUCAACCCCGGACUUGCAGUGGGUACGGGCAGACUAGAGUGUGGUAGGGGAGACUGGAAUUCCUGGUGUAGCGGUGGAAUGCGCAGAUAUCAGGAGGAACACCGAUGGCGAAGGCAGGUCUCUGGGCCACUACUGACGCUGAGAAGCGAAAGCAUGGGGAGCGAACAGGAUUAGAAACCCCGGUAGUCCUUGAC
rnacentral:rRNA from 1 species